UAGGUUAUAAAACAGUGCCAAUGUUUUCAUGAAGGGGAGUAAGACUUGUGGUAUAAUAUAUCUUAAAUACAAGCUAGCAAUAAUUACUGCUUUUUAGUAUGGAUAGAGUUUUAGAAUUAUUAUUGGAGUGGACUUUUGAGGUUAGCAUUACAGCUUGUCUGUGCAGAUUGAUGUUGAAAAUUGCUAUUGACUUUUAAAAAUAUUAAUUACUGUGGCUGAAGGAUAUAAAUGUGUGAUUAUUUCUCCAUACUCCUAAAUUAGAGAUGUUGUGAAGAUUCUUAACAUGUUGACAGCUUGGCGCUCUCUCUUCAGAAGACAUCAGAUUUAAAAUCACCAUUCUGACAGGACAUGACUGCCAAUCUGUAUUUCCUGCCUGAGUAUCCUGCACUACCAAACAGAUGCCUUACUUUUACAUGUAUUUUACUGCAAGUCUGAAGAAGACCAAGAUUGACCAUAUUUCCUUUUAGGUCUUUCUAACUCUACCAAACAGUUUCCAAUAUGAACGGUUCAUAUAGAUCUUGCAUAAACAAGAGAAAGAAUUUAGUUGGUAUACUUUAAAAAUUAUUAAUGUAAAGAUUCUCCAUUUUAACAAGAGUGGAAGUUUUGGUUGAUGUAUUGUGUUUUGAAUUUUCACUCAACUUUAUUUGUCUCUCUACCAUUAAAUGCUAUUGAUUUUUAUUUGUCUCUCUACCAUUAAAUGCUAUUGAUAUUUAUUUGUCUCUCUACCAUUAAAUGCUAUUGAUUUUUAUUUGUCUCUCAACCAUUAAAUUCUAUUAAUUUUUAUUUGUCUCUCUACCAUUAAAUGCUAUUGAUUUUUAUUACUUGUUGCUCUACACAUAUAAAAUGGUAACAUUUACAUUAAUUGGUAAAGAAUGGAGAAUCUAAAAAUAAUAGAUAUCAAGUUUAUUGCUACAGGUACGCGACUCAGUUGUAAUUGAUCAUAAGUCUAACAGGGUCAAGGGGAGGUAACGCCUCAUACUUUAAGUUUCUUAAGUGUUGACCAAUAUAACUUAGACAUUCUCUUUUUCCUUUUUUAGUAUUUUGUUAUUAAGCUUAGUGACUAAGGUUGUUUUGUGAAAAAAUAAAAGCAAAAGUAUAGUUUUAUUUUCAAAGACAGUAUCAAAAGCAAAACUUGAUAUUCAAUUUUUUGUAUCUCUGAUAUAUUGACCAGUAACAGCAGCUUAAAAAACUUCCUGGAAUGUUAUGAAAUGAGAACAUAAUCAUCUUUUUGAUUAAGAAAAAAAAUAAUUUUAUUUCUUCUUUCCAUAUUUUAUUGGUAAAUUUAAUUGGGUUUUAACUGCAAACUUCACACAGCAGUAGCACAGGCAAACUUUGGGGUUCUGCGUAAUCCUUUCAAAAGUUUUUAUUGCUGUUUUUACAAGUUGUGUAGUGUAAAGUGUUCAUUAUUUUAACUUGUAUCAUAUACAUGUUUUUUGAUGGAUUAAACUGUAAAACUAUUGUAAUUUGAGCACUACCAGAGUAAAUGAACUGUUUUACAAAGCAUUUAUUUAAUUUUUCAUGCAUUUAGUUACGCCAAGUCCAAAAAAUUGUAGAAUAUUGAUGAAACAUCUUACUUUCAAGGAAUGUAAAAUAAUAGUUUCUUUAAAACAAUAAUUUGUGUUCUUAAUGGAAUGUAAAAUAUUGUAUAUUAUUGAAUUUAUAUGAAACCUUUUUCUUCUUCUGUAGGAUAGUUAGUGGUUCAAAUAUAUGCCUGUUGAGAAUAACAUUGCAUGCAAGUUUUCGGAAUUUCCACUAAAAAAUAAAAAUAAAAUUUGCAUCAAAGUACACUGUCUUCAAAAAAAGUUCAAUGCAAGAGUCUUAUAAUACUAAGACUUUUUGUAUCAUUUCAAUUAAGCAUAGAAAUAACCAAAAAGAAACAAAUUUCUCUUUCCUACAGCUUCUAUAUUCACUUUUAUAUGUAAAUAUGUGUUAGAGCCUAAAUUGACCUGAACUUAUUUUUAGUCAUGCAUUGCCUUGGACCAUUUCCUAACUGUGUGGUAUGCUAUUGUAACUUUUCCAUCCAGAAAGAAUUAUUUAUGGCAAAAUUACAAUUGUUUAGAAGCACCCCCUAUUUUAUUUAAUACAUGUACAUUGAAUAACAAGCCCCCUAUUAAUAUAUGAUGAAAUGGGAUAAAAUCAACUUGGUUAUCAGAAUUUGUGAUUAUCUCCCCUCAUUAAAAAGAACUUAUGCCAGUGUAGGAAUUUUACAGGAAAUAUUUCGCCUCAAGUCUUUAAAAAGGCCUAAAUCAAACCUGAUUCAUCAAACACCUUGUUCUAAACUUAGCAGAACAGUUAAUAUGCUGGUCAAUGCCCCAUGUCCUCUGUAAAUUGGAUAACUGUAAAGAAAGUCCUUAAAUGAUAAACAAUUAUUGUUUCUUUGCUCCAAAAAAUUGAAAUAAGGGGUAGGGGUACACAAUAAUCAACUUAUGCAAAGGUUGUUUAAUUGGAUUUCAGUAAAUGUCAAUAAAUUGGCUUUCAUUUUUAUGAUUGAAAAAUAAGGGGAGAUAAUUUUGACAUAGUAGAAUCCUGACUGCAAAAGUAGUAGGAAUGAAAUUUUUAUUCUUAACAGCAUGCUAGGUUUAUUUUGAAUAAUGAAUUUACAAAAAAAAAUCAAAUGUUAUUGUUAAUUGGAAAAUGAAUGAGAGGUUUCCUGAUGUUGA